AUGGAUGAACUUAUGAAGUUGUUUGCUACUAAAAAUACUCCUCUUGAUCCCAAUGAUAUGCCUUUGUCUACUUUGAUUGAGAAUAAUAAUGAAUCUAUGGAUGUGAAUUUUGUUGGUAGGAAUAGUUUUGGAAACAAUGCUUAUAGAGGAAACUUUAAUCCUAGACCGUUCCCUAGUAAUUCCUCUAAUAAUUAUGGAAAUUCCUACAAUAAUUCUUAUGGUAAUUUUAAUAAGAUGCCCUCUGAUUUUGAGAAUAGUGUGAAAGAAUUUAUGAUCUCUCAAAAGAAUUUUAAUGCUUUGCUUGAAGAAAAAUUUCUCAAAGUAGAUGAUUUGGCUAGGAAAGUUGAUAGACUUUCGCUUGAUGUUGAUUCUCUUAAACUUAGAUCUACUCCUCCUAAGCAUGAUAUCAAUGAGUCUCUCAAAGCAAUGAGAAUUUCCAUUGAUGAGUGCAAGGAAAGAACCGCUAGAUUGUGUGCUAAGAAAGAUUGCUUUGUAAAGGCAUGUUCUUCUAGUUUCAAUAAAAAUAAUGAUGAAGAUCUUAAAGUUAUUGAUGUGUAUCCUAUUAGAUCUUUGUUUUGCAAUAUGAAUCUUAAUAAUAAUGGAACUGGAGAUGAGUCAACUUUAGUUAGAAGGCGUCCCAAUAAUUCAGAGUUUUUAGAUCUUGAUGCUAAAUUUGGUAAAAGUGGGAUUUGA
rnacentral:rRNA from 1 species